GUGAACUUAGCUCAGUUGGUAGAGCAGCGGCAGGCUUAGCUGUGUGUCCUAGGUUCGAUUCCUGGAGUUCACCCCA
rnacentral:tRNA from 1 species